rnacentral:rRNA from 1 species
AUUGAACGCUGGCGGUAUGCUUAACACAUGCAAGUCGAACGAUGAGAAAGAGCUUGCUCUUUCGAUUAGUGGCGGACGGGUGUGUAACGCGUAGGAAUCCACCUAUUAGUGGGGGACAACUUAGGGAAAAUUAAGCUAAUAACGCAUACGCCCUACGGGGGGAAGAAGGGGAUCGCAAGACCUUUUGCUAAUAGAUGAGCCUGCGUAGGAUUAGCUAGUUGGUGGGGUAAAAGCUCACGAAGGCGACGAUCCUUAACUGGUUUGAGAGAAUGAUCAGUCACACUGGAACUGAGACACGGUCCAGACUCCUACGGGAGGCAGCAGUGGGGAAUAUUGGACAAUGGGCGAAAGCCUGAUCCAGCAAUACCGCGUGUGUGAAGAAGGCCUUAGGGUUGUAAAGCACUUUCAAUUGGAAGGAAAACCUCGAAGCUAAUACCUUCGAGUUUGACAUUACCUUUAGAAGAAGCACCGGCUAACUCCGUGCCAGCCGCCGCCGUAAGAC